rnacentral:rRNA from 1 species
GACAGGUAUGGGAGUGAGAAUGUUGGCAUGAGUAGCGAGAUGUGGGUGAGAAUCCCACAGGCCGUAAACCCAAGGUUUCCAGGGGAAGGUGCGUCCGCCCUGGGUUAGUCGGGACCUAAGCUGAGGCCGAAAGGCGUAGGUGAUGGACAACAGGUUGAUAUUCCUGUACUACCGAUAACC